UUGAAUUCUAAUUCAAGAAAAGCACUCCUUAUUGUCGUAGACUCUAAGUCUAAAGUUCUCUUUUGGCCAGCAGAAGAGCAGGACGCAGGAUGAAAAGUGAGACAUGGCUAAUGUCCGGGAAAAGACAAGAGCCCCGAAUAAGGGUCCUUGCCCCAUUUUUAUUAGGAUCAGAAGGCUUAGAAACAUGGCGAUGGACGUGCACAAAGAGACAAUGAUCU